CCUACGGGGGGCAGCAGUGGGGAAUAUUGGACAAUGGGGGGAACCCUGAUCCAGCCAUGCCGCGUGUGUGAAGAAGGCCCUCGGGUUGUAAAGCACUUUCAGUGAGGAAGAACGCCUGGUGGUUAAUACCCAUCAGGAAAGACAUCACUCACAGAAGAAGCACCGGCUAACUCCGUGCCAGCAGCCGCGGUAAUACGGAGGGUGCGAGCGUUAAUCGGAAUUACUGGGCGUAAAGCGCGCGUAGGUGGCUUGAUAAGCCGGUUGUGAAAGCCCCGGGCUCAACCUGGGAACGGCAUCCGGAACUGUCAAGCUAGAGUGCAGGAGAGGAAGGUAGAAUUCCCGGUGUAGCGGUGAAAUGCGUAGAGAUCGGGAGGAAUACCAGUGGCGAAGGAGGCCUUCUGGACUGACACUGACACUGAGGUGCGAAAGCGUGGGUAGCAAACAGGAUUAGAUACCCGGGUAGGC
rnacentral:rRNA from 1 species